CUUUACUGCAGCUUUGCAGUGGCAGCAGGAGAAUUCUGUGUAGGAUAGGUGGGAGGCUUUGAAGCCUGGGCGCUAGCUUGGGUGGAGCCAACCUUGAAAUACCACCCUGAGUUCUUUUGCUGUCUAACCGCGACCGGUCAGCCCGGUCCGGGACCCUGCAUGGUGGGCAGUUUGACUGGGGCGGUCGCCUCCCAAAAAGUAACGGAGGCGCGCGAUGGUGGGCUCAAGCCGGUCGGACAUCGGCUGUUGAGUGCAAUGGCAUAAGCCCGCCUGACUGUGAGAGUGACAGCUCGAACAGAGACGAAAGUCGGCCAUAGUGAUCCGGUGGUCCCGCGUGGAAGGGCCAUCGCUCAACGGAUAAAAGGUA
rnacentral:rRNA from 1 species